GCUGAAACACUUACCUGCACUAUCCAAACGAGGACGAGAAGUAGAUGAACAACAUUACAGCAAGUGAAGUAGCAGGACUCGGGUGGGUACAUUACUCCUAUUUUGCACCAUUGCUGCCCCAAAGAUUGACUCUUUUAUCUCUAAUUCGCAGAGAAGCUCCCUGGGGAUGUGCAAGACAUGUGGCGAUUUAAGGAUGAUAGCAUGCUCAAAAUGUAAAGGAAUUGGAUCAGUCAAGGAAGGUGGGCCUUUAAGUUUUAACAUGUUGGAUGAUUUGUAUCAGUCCAUUGGUGGAGUAUCAAAGGUGAAAACCUUUAAAUGUACUAAAUGUGAAGCUAGAGGUCAUUUCUGCUGCCCUGGCUGCUCUAAAGUGCCAUCAGAUUAAUUAAUAUGUAGAUCUUGUAAACAAUUGCUCUCUUGUGCUUCUUCCAGAACUUGGUUAUAUUCAAGAUUUCCUCCUUGCAGUGAUUAUAAUUACUGGACUCUGGAUUUUAGUUGGACUAUAUAGAGAAAAGAAGUUCAUAAAUCUUCCCAUA